UAUCUCUCCAUCCAAUUGUCUUAUUGUCUCUUCCCAGGUCAUAUACAACCGUCACCUAGGGAACCAACGCCGAGUACAAUAUGUACUACACAACCUAGGUAAAUGUAGUUGACAAGGUGAGUGUUAUCCGAUGUUGUUAUCCGAUCAAGCCGGUCCACGACUCGAUUUUGGUAGACGUCAACAUUCGUUCGGGGCUCAACUAUAACCUCCGUUACUAUACUCUCAAGAGAUGUGGGACCUACCAUCGUCUGUAGGGACCUUGUUGACCACAGCCGAAACCGGUUCUCGAACAUCAAAUACUUUCUGGUCUCGGUUCCAGGCCGUAGGUGGCCUACCAUAAACACGACAAGGUCGUUGAUCCUUCCCCCUGCCAAAAACGUGGCCUGUACGCCGUCUUAAAGUCGAGGUCCUUGAAGCGUGCGGUCAUGGUGGAAUUGUAACGGCGACGGUGUAUAAAGUCGACAGUUUCCCUUCCACCCAGCCCACCUUCUUCCAAAUCCGGCCUUUCAAGAGUUCCCAUCAUCUCUGAUAUAUGAUGUCUCAUGUCUGGUAAUAUACUGACAUGACACCACAACGUAGUGUUGUAUCCUACGAGACAUAGUGGGUUAUACGUCCCAUACAUAGAAGUCCUGUAAUAGAUCUUUUUGAAACAUAGAAGUCGAUACUACUCGAAUUACCUUAUAUGCAGCAAAUAAUAAAUUAUCAGUAUUUUUC
rnacentral:rRNA from 1 species